GACGAACGCUGGCGGCGUGCUUAACACAUGCAAGUCGAACGGAAAGGCCCUGCUUUUUUGGGGUGCUCGAGUGGCGAACGGGUGAGUAACACGUGAGUAACCUGCCCUUGACUUUGGGAUAACUUCAGGAAACUGGGGCUAAUACCGGAUAGGAGCUCCUGCUGCAUGGUGGGGGUGGGAAAGUUUCGGCGGUUGGGGAUGGACUCGCGGCUUAUCAGCUUGUUGGUGGGGUAGUGGCUUACCAAGGCUUUGCGAGGUAGCCGGCCUGGGAGGGUGACCGGCCCAGUUGGGAUGGGACUAAGGCCCAGACUACUACGGGAGGCAGCAGUGGGGAAUAUUGUACAAUGGGAGGAAGCCUGGUGCAGCAACGCCGCGUGCGGGAUGACGGCCUGCGGGUUGUAAACCGCUUUCGCCUGUGACGAAGCGUGAGUGACGGUAAUGGGUAAAGAAGCACCGGCUAACUACGUG
rnacentral:rRNA from 1 species